rnacentral:rRNA from 1 species
UACGUAGGGUCCGAGCGUUGUCCGGAAUUAUUGGGCGUAAAGGGCUCGUAGGCGGAUUGUCGCGUCGGGAGUGAAAACACGGGGCUUAACCCCGUGCCUGCUUCCGAUACGGGCAGACUAGAGGUAUGCAGGGGAGAACGGAAUUCCUGGUGUAGCGGUGAAAUGCGCAGAUAUCAGGAGGAACACCGGUGGCGAAGGCGGUUCUCUGGGCAUUACCUGACGCUGAGGAGCGAAAGUGUGGGGAGCGAACAGG